UACGUAGGUGGCAAGCGUUGUCCGGAUUUACUGGGCGUAAAGAGCGCGCAGGCGGUCGUUCAAGUCGCGUGUGAAAGCCCCCGGCUCAACUGGGGAGGGUCACGCGAUACUGAUCGACUCGAAGGCAGGAGAGGGUAGUGGAGUUCCCGGUGUAGUGGUGAAAUGCGUAGAUAUCGGGAGGAACACCAGUGGCGAAGGCAGCUCGCUGGGACGUAACUGACGCUGAGACGCGAAAGCGUGGGGAGCAAACAGG
rnacentral:rRNA from 1 species